rnacentral:lncRNA from 1 species
CAUUGUUCUAAGGGGAAGAACUCCUCACAAGGUAAAACAUUGAAUCCAAACUUAGGGGAAAAAGUUGAUCUGCUCUGAUCACUGACUUCAGAAUGGCCUGGAGUAACUACAAUGGUAGGGAACCUCCUCAGAAGCCAAGUAGCCUCUGACUGCAAUGUCACUUUUUUGGCAUGGUCUUUGGCUGAAGUAGGCUGCAUAUUCUCUUUUUUUGCCACAGGAAUCCUGACCACUUCUGCUUCAUAUCUUAGGUAUGUAGCUUAUGGUCCAGGUCUGCAAGGAGCACCUGGCCCAACAUGGUUACAAGGUCAGCUUCUCAGGGAAAGAAGCCCUUGCCUAUGCCAUUAGAGUUUGUCUGACUCCUCAGAGUGCAGGUGUGUGUGCAAGCACACCAGUGUGUCCUUGCAUGUAUGUGUGUGGAGGGGAUGGGGGCUGAAGGGUAGGGGACACAAUGGAAGGGCUGGGGCUGAAUUCUGUUCUGUUUUUCUUCAUUCAUCUUCUGGUUGUGGUAUAAUGGCUUCGCUUCUCUUCCUCUUUGACUCCUAGGAAGUGAAUACUGUGCCGACUGAGCAUAAACCUGCCUCUGUGACGUCCUUCACAUUGCACUCCUGAUGGUGUGGAGGCUGAGGCCAGACCUCUCCAAGGGACUGGAUCUUCUGAAAAACUUGGGAUGUCAGCUCCCCUGAGGCUAGAAAUGGAGGUUAAGUGGGGACUGCAAAUUCAUGGCUACCAAAAUGAGUCCUGGCAAAAGUCACCACAUUUCUUUCCCCAUGCCUAAUGGGAAUAUCAGUUAUACUGUGCCUCAAAACAUUUAACAGCCGGAACCAAUUAGUUUUCAUCAACUCUUUGUUGGGUUUGGUCCAGGUUUGUGGAUAUCAUUCUGUUUAGGCAUUUAGCAUCCUACCUGUGACUGCAACCCUAGCUGUCUGUUUGCCCAAGGUGCACAUGUACUUCUUCAAAUUUGGUUUCUGAGUGAGAGGGAUGAGCUCCAGGAAGCCAUUUCUGUGUAAUAAGAACUGGUCUUGGCAUCCACCUCAAGCCAGCUGGCUAGAGUACAAUAUACAUAUGCUAACAGCCACCUCUUGAUAUAUUAUUGGAAGUGAGACAAAAUCACCAGGUAAAUGGAAGGUAUCUGAGAAAUUCAGUACCUAGAAUGUCUCUUCUAAAGUGAUAGAAGUCAAUGUCAAUAGCACCCUUUUCAUUUAGAAAAGUUUUUCUCAUUUUAGGCCCUUCAGGGGUGAGUCUGACUAGAAGACUUCCCCAAAGGUUACUCGUCUUUAAGUUCUCUUUUAUACAGCUGUAUUCUACCUGAUGCAUGUGCCUCUCAUAGCUGAAGAGAACCGAGGUAGUUCUCCUGGGUGACUGGAAUGAGGGCUGGAAAAAGAGAGUGCCAUUUCAUUUAUAACCCCAUGAAGGAAUGAAAACAGCUCUUGGGCAUUAACUCUAUUGGGAUUUUUUUUUUUUUUUUGCUUUGAAACAGGUAAAGACAGACCUAUCCUUUGAUGGGAUCUGUCAUGGUGACCUGGUCUCUAAGAAAGCUGUGACUGUCUUUUCAAGAAAGCAGUCUAUUGAUGUCUGUCUCUGAUCCAGUCCACUAUCUUGAUCAACUGGUCUCCCAUGUCACACCACUGGAGAAGAGAAGAACCAAGACUUCAGUGCAUUUGUCACUUGCUUACCUUCCAGAGAAACCAGAUCACCAUACCCAGAUCAGUGAUUGUCAAAUGUGCAAAUAUGUCUCUGUGAAUGUGACUUUAAUAUGUUGCUGCUCUCAUGGAAAAAGAAUGUGAAAUCCUCACAGGACAUUAUAUCUUACAAACAAAAUCUAUUUUUUUUUUUUUAAUUUUAAGAAUAGAGUUUGGGCUUUAAUUAUUACUUUUUUUUUCACUCAAAUGCUCACUUACUGGGCAAAAGUCUGGGUAGCAAGAAAAAUAAUGAGAUUCAGCUUUUCCUAAAUGGUUCUUUUAUACUGUGGAUGGUGCAGGAGACUGUUACUGACUAUGUGAAGAGCUGGGCUGGAGGCAGCUCAGCAUCUGGCAACUGGGAGCUUAUUUUAUAUGCACAAAGCUGCCUUCAGAAGGCUCCUUACUCUGCUCUGUAGCAGAUGGUUUUCAUCUGGCUGCUUGUAGCAUGCUGUACUGUAUUGAUUUGUUCUUCUGAUGCAGAUUUCUUUCUGCAUCUAAAUAUACUGUUUUCUGAUUAUUAAUGUUUUAUUUAGUUAUUUAUUUAUCCAUACAAAGCAUUUUUAUAUCAGCAUUUGCAUGUAUUUAAUCAGAAUGUAAUAUAAUUUGUGUUGUCAGCUUUUUGGUAGAGGCCUAGAUGGUUUGAACUUUUAAGUCUAAUGUCCGUAGUGUUCCUUAAGUUUUCAGAAUGUGGAUAUCUGUAAAAGGAUAGUAACUAUGUAAAAGCACAGUGGACUUUUUUUGAGCACUUUUUUCCUCAUUGAUUUUUAGUAUAAACCAAGAGAUGCAUUUCUCUGGAGAAAUGUUCAUCUCCUGGAUAAAUAAAAUCAUGCUAAAAUAUGUGAGUAAUAUGUAUUUUUGUGCAAUAAGAAAACACAAUAAAAAUUAUUUUAAUUAAAAUACAUUAAUUUUUUAAAUCAUA